rnacentral:rRNA from 1 species
UACGGGGGGGGCAAGCGUUGUUCGGAAUUACUGGGCGUAAAGGGCUCGUAGGCGGCCAACUAAGUCAGACGUGAAAUCCCUCGGCUUAACCGGGGAACUGCGUCUGAUACUGGAUGGCUGGAGGUUGGGAGAGGGAUGCGGAAUUCCAGGUGUAGCGGUGAAAUGCGUAGAUAUCUGGAGGAAUACCAGUGGCGAAGGCGGCCUCCUGGAUCAACACUGACGCUGAGGUGCGAAAGCGUGGGGAGCAAACAGG